UACGGGGGGGGCAAGCGUUGUUCGGAAUUACUGGGCGUAAAGGGCUCGUAGGUGGCCAACUAAGUCAGACGUGAAAUCCCUCAGCUUAACUGGGGAACUGCGUCUGAUACUGGAUGGCUUGAGUUUGGGAGAGGGAUGCGGAAUUCCAGGUGUAGCGGUGAAAUGCGUAGAUAUCUGGAGGAACACCGGUGGCGAAGGCGGCAUCCUGGACCAACACGUGACACUGAGGAGCGAAAGCCAGGGGAGCAAACGGG
rnacentral:rRNA from 1 species